UACGUAGGAGGCAAGCGUUGUCCGGAAUUAUUGGGCGUAAAGCGCGCGCAGACGGUUCCUUAAGUCUGAUGUGAAAGCCGACGGCUCAACCGUGGAGGGUCAUUGGAAACUGGGGAACUUGAGUGCAGAAGAGAAGAGCGGAAUUCCACGUGUAGCGGUGAAAUGCGUAGAGAUGUGGAGGAACGCCAGUGGCGAAGGCGACUCUCUGGUCUGUAACUGACGCUGAGGAGCGAAAGCGUGGGGAGCGAACAGG
rnacentral:misc_RNA from 1 species